UACGUAGGGUGCAAGCGUUGUCCGGAAUUAUUGGGCGUAAAGAGCUCGUAGGCGGUUUGUUGCGUCGGCUGUGAAAUCCCGAGGCUCAACCUCGGGUCUGCAGUCGAUACGAGCAAACUAGAGUGUUGCAGGGGAGACUGGAAUUCCUGGUGUAGCGGUGAAAUGCGCAGAGUAUCAGGAGGGAACACCGGUGGCGAAGGCGGGUCUCUGGGACGGUA
rnacentral:rRNA from 1 species